UACGUAGGGUGCAAGCGUUGUUCGAAAUCACUGGGCGUAAAGCGCGUGUAGGCGGUUUGUUAAGUCUAAUGUGAAAGCCCCGAGCUUAACUCGGGAAGUGCAUCGGAUACUGGCAAACUAGAGGACAGAAGAGGGAAGUGGAAUUCCUGGUGUAGGGGUGAAAUCCGUAGAUAUCAGGAGGAACAUCAGUGGCGAAGGCGGCUUCCUGGUCUGUUUCUGACGCUCAGACGCGAAAGCAUGGGGAGCAAACAGG
rnacentral:rRNA from 1 species